rnacentral:sRNA from 1 species
UAGUUCUCAUUGCCACGACGUCUUCCCGC